rnacentral:rRNA from 1 species
ACUCCUACGGGAGGCUGCAGUGGGGAAUCUUGCGCAAUGGGGGAAACCUUGACGCAGCAACGCCGCGUGGGUGAUGAAGGCCUUCGGGUCGUAAAGCCCUGUCAGGUGGGAAGAAACGUAUCGGUGUUAAUACCGCCGAUAUUUGACGGUACCACCGGAGGAAGCACCGGCUAACUCCGUGCCAGCAGCCGCGGUAAUACGGAGGGUGCAAGCGUUGUUCGGAAUUACUGGGCGUAAAGCGCGUGUAGGCGGUCGGGCAAGUUAGAUGUGAAAGCCUUCCGCUUAACGGAAGAAGUGCAUUUAAUACUACCCGGCUGGAGUACGGGAGAGGAGAGUGGAAUUCCCGGUGUAGAGGUGAAAUUCGUAGAUAUCGGGAGGAACACCAGUGGCGAAGGCGGCUCUCUGGUCCGAUACUGACGCUGAGACGCGAAAGCGUGGGGAGCAAACAGGAUUAGAUACCCUGGUAGUCCACGCCGUAAACGAUGGGCACUAGGUGUAGGAGGUAUUGACCCCUUCUGUGCCGAAGUUAACGCAUUAAGUGCCCCGC